GAAAUUCGCCUGCAUGAAGCCGGAAUUGCUAGUAAUGGCAGGUCAGCAUACUGCCGUGAAUACGUUCCCGGGCCUUGUACACACCGCCCGUCACACCAUGAGAGUUGGGGAUACCCAAAGCCCGUGAGCCAACUGUAAAGAGGCAGCGGUCUAAGGUAGAAUCAAUGAUUGGGGUGAAGUCGUAACAAGGUAAC
rnacentral:rRNA from 1 species